rnacentral:misc_RNA from 1 species
AGAAUCCUUCCCUACUCAAACCAGAGACUGUAUGUCUUCGCCUUAAAAGGCCUAACUCAGAUUCCGCAACAGAUACAGAUCUUGCAUCCGUAGUCAAUCUAUUGUUUCGCAAAAAUCUACUUUUGAGUAAUGACUGAAUGCGGUUGCGAUGAGCAAAGCCUGACACAGCUUGUUGCUCCGACAAUAUUUGAAUUUCCCUUUGUCUUUCUCUCUCAGCCUUCUUGACCAUAUCAAGGAGAGCUUGUCUG